rnacentral:rRNA from 1 species
AUUGAACGCUGGCGGCAGGCUUAACACAUGCAAGUCGAGCGAGCGGCGGACGGGUGAGUAAUGUCUGGGAAACUGCCUGAUGGAGGGGGAUAACUACUGGAAACGGUAGCUAAUACCGCAUACCCUCGGAUGUGCCCAGAUGGGAUUAGCUAGUAGGUGGGGUAAAGGCUCACCUAGGCGACGAUCCCUAGCUGGUCUGAGAGGAUGACCAGCCACACUGGAGCUGAGAAACGGUCCAGAAGCCUACGGGAGGCAGGAGGGGGGAAUAUUGCACAAUGGGCGGAAGGCUGAUGGAGCCAUGCUGCGUGGAUGAAGAAGGGCUUCGGGGUGUAAAGUACUUUCAGCGGGGAGGAGGUAACCGCAGAAGAAGGACCCGCUAACUCCGUGCCAGCAGCCGCGGUAAUAC